AUGGCGUUGCGGCAUCCUCGCCAUUCGGUAUACGCGCAGCUGCGGCUCCUUGCCUUGGCAAGGGUUGCUGUAUUGGGCACACAAAAAACAAGGAUGACGCAUGGCACAUUUCAGGUUCGACUUGUAGAUAGGACACACAUCAUGGUUAGCUCUUUGGUCAUCAACUGGUCCAUGACCAAGAAUAUAUUAAAACAAACACAACCGUAUAUAACUUCUUGUGCAUCAGGGAGGCAUGCUGUGGAAGCAAAAGGUUGCAGGUUUAUGCUAAGUGAGGGAGAUAUGGUGAAAGCAGCGAAAGGGAAAGACUACAGAUUGCUGGAUUGGGAGUUUGGGACUUUGCCUGCAAAAUGA
rnacentral:rRNA from 1 species